ACGGGGACCCGCACAAGCGGUGGAUGAUGUGGUUUAAUUCGAUGCAACGCGAAAACUUACCCACCUUUGACAUGUACGGAAUCCUUUAGAGAUAGAGGAGUGCUCGAAAGAGAGCCGUAACACAGGUGCUGCAUGGCUGUCGUCAGCUCGUGUCGUGAGAUGUUGGGUUAAGUCCCGCAACGAGCGCAACCCUUGUCAUUAGUUGCUACAUUCAGUUGGGCACUCUAAUGAGACUGCCGGUGACAAACCGGAGGAAGGUGGGGAUGACGUCAAGUCCUCAUGGCCCUUAUAGGUGGGGCUACACACGUCAUACAAUGGAUGGUACAAAGGGUCGCCAACCCGCGAGGGGGAGCCAAUCCCAUAAAGCCAUUCGUAGUCCGGAUCGCAGUCUGCAACUCGACUGCGUGAAGUCGGAAUCGCUAGUAAUCGUGGAUCAGAAUGUCACGGUGAAUACGUUCCCGGGUCUU
rnacentral:rRNA from 1 species